UCGCCUGUUUUAUCAAAAACAUCGCCUCUUGCUAAACCAAAAGUAUAAGAGGUCCCGCCUGCCCUGUGACUAUAUGUUUAACGGCCGCGGUAUUUUGACCGUGCGAAGGUAGCGCAAUCACUUGUCUCUUAAAUGGGGACCUGUAUGAAUGGCAUAACGAGGGCUUGACUGUCUCCUCUUUCAGGUCAAUGAAAUUGAUCUCCCCGUGCAGAAGCGGGGAUAGACACAUAAGACGAGAAGACCCUAUGGAGCUUUAGACACUAAAGCAGAUCAGCAUUAAUACCCCAAAUACGGGACACGAAUAAACUGAACCCUGCCCUAAUGUCUUAGGUUGGGGCGACCGCGGAGAAAUAAAAAACCCCCGCAAGGACUGAAUGUACUACAUUCACAACCAAGAGCGACAGCUCUAAUUAACAGAUAUUUCUGACCAAUAAGAUCCGGCAACGCCGAUCAAUGGACCAAGUUACCCUAGGGAUAACAGCGCAAUCUCCUCUUAGAGCCCGUAUCAACGAGGAGGUUUACGACCUCGAUGUUGGAUCAGGACAUCCUAAUGGUGCAGCCGCUAUUAAGGGUUCGUUUGUUCAACGAUUAAAGUCCUACGUGAUCUGAGUUCAGACCGGA
rnacentral:rRNA from 1 species